CUAGGGGGUCAUCCCGACUUACCAACCCUUUGCAAACUCCGAAUACCAGUAAGUACUAUCCGGGAGACACACGGCGGGUGCUAACGUCCGUCGUGGAGAGGGAAACAACCCAGACCGCCAGCUAAGGUCCCAAAGUAUUGCUAAGUGGGAAACGAUGUGGGAAGGCUCAGACAGCUAGGAUGUUGGCUUAGAAGCAGCCAUCAUUUAAAGAAAGCGUAAUAGCUCACUAGUCGAGUCGGCCUGCGCGGAAGAUGUAACGGGGCUAAGCAAUACACCGAAGCUGCGGCAAUAUCUUUUAGAUAUUGGGUAGGGGAGCGUUCUGUAAGCCGUUGAAGGUGAAUCGUAAGGUUUGCUGGAGGUAUCAGAAGUGCGAAUGCUGACAUGAGUAACGACAAAGGGGGUGAAAAACCUCCUCGCCGGAAGACCAAGGGUUCCUGUCCAACGUUAAUCGGGGCAGGGUGAGUCGACCCCUAAGGUGAGGCCGAAAGGCGUAAUCGAUGGGAAACGGGUUAAUAUUCCCGUACUUCUGACUAUUGCGAUGGGGGGACGGAGAAGGCUAGGUGGGCCAGGCGACGGUUGUCCUGGUUCAAGUGCGUAGGCUUGAGAGUUAGGUAAAUCCGGCUCUCUCUAAGGCUGAGACACGACGUCGAGCUGCUACGGCAGUGAAGUCAUUGAUGCCAUGCUUCCAGGAAAAGCCUCUAAGCUUCAGAUAGUCAGGAAUCGUACCCCAAACCGACACAGGUGGUCGGGUAGAGAAUACCAAGGCGCUUGAGAGAACUCGGGUGAAGGAACUAGGCAAAAUGGUACCGUAACUUCGGGAGAAGGUACGCUCUUGAUGGUGAAGUCCCUCGCGGAUGGAGCUGACGAGAGUCGCAGAUACCAGGUGGCUGCAACUGUUUAUUAAAAACACAGCACUGUGCAAAAUCGCAAGAUGACGUAUACGGUGUGACGCCUGCCCGGUGCCGGAAGGUUAAUUGAUGGGGUUAGCGCAAGCGAAGCUCUUGAUCGAAGCCCCGGUAAACGGCGGCCGUAACUAUAACGGUCCUAAGGUAGCGAAAUUCCUUGUCGGGUAAGUUCCGACCUGCACGAAUGGCGUAAUGAUGGCCACGCUGUCUCCACCCGAGACUCAGUGAAAUUGAAAUCGCUGUGAAGAUGCAGUGUACCCGCGGCUAGACGGAAAGACCCCGUGAACCUUUACUACAGCUUGGCACUGAACAUUGAACCUACAUGUGUAGGAUAGGUGGGAGGCUAUGAAGACGUGACGCCAGUUGCGUUGGAGCCGUCCUUGAAAUACCACCCUUGUAUGUUUGAUGUUCUAACUUAGACCCAUUAUCUGGGUUGAGGACAGUGCCUGGUGGGUAGUUUGACUGGGGCGGUCUCCUCCCAAAGAGUAACGGAGGAGCACGAAGGUGGGCUAAUCACGGUUGGACAUCGUGAGGUUAGUGCAAUGGCAUAAGCCCGCUUAACUGCGAGAAUGACGGUUCGAGCAGGUGCGAAAGCAGGUCAUAGUGAUCCGGUGGUUCUGUAUGGAAGGGCCAUCGCUCAACGGAUAAAAGGUACUCCGGGGAUAACAGGCUGAUACCGCCCAAGAGUUCAUAUCGACGGCGGUGUUUGGCACCUCGAUGUCGGCUCAUCACAUCCUGGGGCUGAAGUCGGUCCCAAGGGUAUGGCUGUUCGCCAUUUAAAGUGGUACGCGAGCUGGGUUUAGAACGUCGUGAGACAGUUCGGUCCCUAUCUGCCGUGGGCGUUGGAAGAUUGAAGGGGGCUGCUCCUAGUACGAGAGGACCGGAGUGGACGAACCUCUGGUGUUCGGGUUGUGUCGCCAGACGCAUUGCCCGGUAGCUAAGUUCGGAAUUGAUAAGCGCUGAAAGCAUCUAAGCGCGAAGCGAGCCCUGAGAUGAGUCUUCCC
rnacentral:rRNA from 1 species